GAGUUUUAGGUGUAUGGUAAAAUGGGCCUUGUAUGAGCUGAGGGGCAACCUCACAGAAGUUGGGCAAAGCAAGAGAUGGAGAAUGGGGGUCAAAUUGGUCUGAGGAGAUGCUGAGGAUAAGUAGUUUUGUAUAGACAACCCCUAUGUCUGAACCAUCAUCUUCCAUCCUGUCAUGAAUUCUUCCAGGAUCACCCGGAGCAUUCACAGGGAUUCCUUAAUCCAGACCUAGUAAUCUAGGAUCUGACACCAAGCAUGGCUCAAAGUGGCUCUUGGUGCCAAUUUGUAGUUUCCUACUGAGGUCCUUGGGACUCGGUGUGAUUCCUGAUUUUGACCCCAAAUUUCCAGCCAUAUGAACCUCACAUGUCAUCUUUCAGAGCCUUAUAAGGGUCACAAGGCUUGACAGGAGUAUAUGGUGCUUCAAAAAAACAGGACCAUAUCUUGAGUUCUGAAGCCCAUGGACAUGACUAUUUUUUAAAGAAAGGUCUGUACAGAUGUGAUUGAGUCAGACUCUUGGGUGAAUCAUCUUUCAUCAACCAGGUGGGCUCUAAACCCAAUGACUGAUGACUUCUUCAGAGGGAAGCAGAGACAAGGAGAUUUCCCCCCCCCACCUGUUUACAAUGUUUAAAGAGACUGCCCAUCACAGGGAGCACAAUGCGCAGUUCUCCAUAACUCCACCCAAGUUUCCAGAGGCCCAGCCUGUGAUCAGCUAUCCAGACUUCUCAGCCCAUCCUAUCAGCUUCUGAUGUCCACAUGCUUUGCAGUUUUGUUCCACUCAUCCACAGGAUCACAGGUGUCCCAAGCUGCUUUCCCCAAACCCCUGCUAGGAUCAUUUGCAUCAGGAUGCCAGUACCACAGAAAAAGAGGAAAUCUGAGGAUGGAGUUCUGGGCACCCUCGGGUCUGGCAGCUGAGAGGUCUCAGCUCAGACUUCUUGCAGGUUCUAAUGGGGCAAAGGAGGUCUAUGUGGAGAGUCCUGGUGGUUGGUAGGCAACUUGAUGGUUCAUAUCAAAGGUAGGAACUGAGGCCAAUUCAUGAUCUAUUGCACUGUAAAGGAUCCUGGCAUUUGGUGGGGAAGCAGAUGAUGGCUUAGCAGGAAGGACAGAAGAAGUUAUGGGAUCUGGAGAGCUGAAGGAAGAGAGCCUUCUCCUGGCCUCCUUGGGCACCUGCACAUACAAACAAGCAAGCACAUAUACAUGAAAUAAAAAUAAAUACAUUUUUAAGGGA